CAACAAAUGUCACGCAUUGAUCAGCCUAUGCCGCCUCCUGCUGGAUAUGCACCACAACCAGCAUAUGGGCAGCCUUAUGGUGGCUAUCCACCUCCUGCUGGUCAAGGUUAUCCGCCAGCUGGAUACCCCCAGGGCGGUGGAUACCCUCCUGCUCAAGGCUACCCACAGGGUGGUGGAUACCCUCCACCUGCUCAAGGUUACCCCCAGGGUGGUGCAUAUCCUCCGCCUGGUUCUUACCCUCCACAAGGUUCGUACCCCCCAGCACAGGGCUCCUACCCUCCAGCACAGGGCUCCUACCCUCCAGCACAAAGCUACCCUGGCAAGUAAAGAGCACAC
rnacentral:lncRNA from 1 species